GAUAAACGCUGGCGGCGUGCCUAACACAUGCAAGUCGAACGCUCUCGCGCAAGCGAGAGAGUGGCGGACGGGUGAGUAACACAUGGGUACCUGCCUUUCAGUGAGGAAUACCGGCGAGAAAUCGCCGACAAGACCGCAUACGCCUGGUUGGCAACGACCAAGCAAAGGUGCUUCGCGAGGAGUGCCGCUGGAAGAGGGGCCUGUGGCCGAUUAGCUAGUUGGGGGGGUAAUGGCCUCCCAAGGCGACGAUCGGUAGCUGGUCUGAGAGGACGAUCAG
rnacentral:rRNA from 1 species